AUGGAGGCUAGUGGCGGCGUUACGGUGGUCGGAUCAGAUGCUCCGUCGGAGUACCACGUAGCUCCAAGAACAGACAACCAAACUCCGAUAUGCCGUCUGCUCCGUUGCCGCCGGUGAUCAAUUUCAUGGCGGAGAAGCGUGCAAAAGUGAAGCCAGUUAGCUCUAUGAUAUGCUUCUCUGUUAAACAAACAUGAAGGAUGGGAGAAAGAAAACUAAGGUGAGAGGU
rnacentral:lncRNA from 1 species